GGAGGGGAUGCGCGUAUUCCCGCGGUCCUGGAGGCAGAGCAGUGGUGUCCUCGCGCGCAGGCUCUGGCGGAGAGGUUGGCGCCAGUCCCCUGGUGGCUGCCGGACCCUGGUUGUGGCCACAUCCCCCCAUCCUCCGAGUGUUUGCAUUCCUGCAUGAUGAACUCAGCGGGGAAAACAGAAGGAUGAAGUAAGCUGAGAGAGACUAUAUCAACAAGUGGACAACGACAGUCUACCCAGUCAUUCAGCAAUGAGAUCAGGGGCACCACGACCUCGUGUGGCAGCGGAGAGGUCACGGUGCAUGGAACUCGAGAAAUGAGGAGGAAACAAGCACUACAACGUGGCUGCGAUCUAGACGAGCCGAGUAAGAAGACUGGUGCCGCAGCGGGAUAGACGGGACUUCACCGUCGGCUUCCCCAGGCCCCUCCCGGCCUCCUGCUCGUGGUCCAGGUGCUCAGCUCGUUCCAAAGAGCCCCGCAGGUGACCGCUUCCCUCCGAACUUCCCGGCUCCGGAGCCCUCCCGUGGGGUCGGGGCCGCGGGACUCUGGGAACCGCGCGGCGCUGGCAGUGCAGCCGGGUGAGCGUUCUCUCGUUUUGUUUACACCACGGAGUUACGUUGUCAUUUUGCACGUGCAACACCAACACUUGUGGAGGGUUGCAAAGAUGCCUCACGUGAAAAUGAAAUGUUAGUUUUUGUAGAAUCGAAUGCCAAGUGUACUUGCUCCUGCCGGGCGGCGCAGGCAGAAGAAAAAGUCACUUUCCCUGACCGGGAAUCGAACCCGGGCCGCGGCGGUGAGAGCGCCGAAUCCUAACCACUAGACCACCAGGGACGGUGUUGGGAGAGACGCCGAACAACCCUACAGGCUGGAUGCACCUGCCUCCGGCCUAAUAUUGAUUUUGACCUCAACAAGUGUGGCAAUAUCCGUUGAACCGGAAAAAAAAAAAAAAAAAAAAAGAAAAGGACGACUUUUUCUGAAAACGUGCAGACCAGGAGGAUGGUGCGAUAAGGACGCCCUAGGAGAGGCCGGAAGAGAACGUGUAAAGGGAGGAGCCAAAUGUGCUCAAGGAAAACCACUUCCCUCCCUUCUUCCCUGCGGCAUCUGCUUCUCUGGCUGCAGCUCGGCUCCGCACAAACCCGCCCUCUCUUCCCGCCCGCGGACUCAAUCCCAGCACCCGGAGCCCGAGGCAGGAGGCCCGAGGCACUCCUUUCCGCGUCAUGACCCCCUCCCCCACCCCCAGCCCCAUUCUCUGCCAAAGGCAGGGACUGCAGGUGUAAAGGGGAAAGGGAAGUUUAAUAGGAGGAAUAGCAAUUCCAUUUUAUUCUCCAUUUCACGUCCCUUCAACAAAUAUUUAUUGAGUGAGUGCGCUCCACGCAGCUCUGCAGAGCGAGAGAGGCAGGAAAGGAGAGCACAGGAAAGGUUCCCGGGACAGGGAACUGGCUGAGAAUGUACCCCGCGAGGCGAGGCGGGGCGGGGCGGGGAGCGCGGCAGAGGGAGCCCAGACGCUGCCUUAGCCUCCCUAGCCCUCCUGCUGACCUGCCCGCUCUGAGCUGGGCCCAGUCUUUGCCUUGCUUCUCAGAGAACAAGGUUUCCCUCAUUUCCAAGGCUGAUUAACACUCGUCUGAGCUUAUGACCGCUCGGCCCAUGCCAUGCUGCCCUGGGUCUUGACCUCUCCCUUACCUGCCUCUUUUCACGGUAGGAAUGCCUGAAUCUCCAUCUUCACACACCAAACACACACUUGCCCUCCGGCCUUGCCCUCCGGAUUCUUCCCGGGCUCCCCUUCACCCACCACCACACCCGUUGGAAGAACAGCAUUUGUCUCCACUUCUUUGCCGCAUCAGUCCCGCAGUAGCUGAGGUCUGCCCUAGAGAACAUUACCCUGCACUUGCCAGCCUUCAAAUGCCUUGGUUCUUUUUUGGCCCUAAAUUAACGGUGUGCAGGCUGCACACUGCUGGUGUCCCUCCCUGCUCCAGCGCCUUCCCUUGGUCCUGGGACUUCCACUCCUGCCAUCCUUCUCCCGGCUCUGCUCCGCUUCUGACUCUCCUCUUCCCCUCCUGUAAGGACCCCUAGAAAUGGUUGCUUUCCAGGUUCUGACCUCCAUCAUCUUUGAAUUAAAUUUUUAAUUGUUAGACAACUGUAGAUUCACAUGCAGUUAUAAAUAAGGCACAGAGAUCCCAGCCAGGCGCCGUUUACCUGGUUGCCCCCAGUGGUGACAUCUUGCAAAACUUGAGUGCAAUGUCACUAGCAGGUUGCUGAUAUGAUAAAGUCAAGAUACAGAACAUUUCCAUCAGCACUGGGAUGUCGUCCUUUUACAGCCACAUCCACUUUCCUCCUGCCCCCCACCCCCACAUAUGUGGCAAUCACUAAUCUGAUUUCCAUAUCUAUAACUGUAAUUUCAAGAAUGGGACAUAAAUGGAAUCACAGAGCAUGGAACCUCUUGAGAUUGUCUUUUUGCACUCACUAUGAUAAUUCUCUGGAGAUUCAUCCAGGUUGUUGAAUGCAUCAAUGGUUUAUUCCUUUUUCUUACUGAGUAGUAUUCUCUAGUGUGAAUUUACCACACUUUGUGUGAACUUCCUCCCACUGAAAGACAUCUGGGUCAUUUCCAGUUUGUUGCUAUUAUGAAUAAAGCUAUUAUACACCUUUG